AACGAACGCUGGCGGCAUGCCUAACACAUGCCAGUCGAACGAGACCUUCGGGUCUAGUGGCGCACGGGUGCGUAACGCGUGGGAACCUGCCCUUAGGUUCGGAAUAACUCCCCGAAAGGGGUGCUAAUACCGGAUAAUGUCUUCGGACCAAAGAUUUAUCGCCUUUGGAUGGGCCCGCGUUGGAUUAGCUAGUUGGUAGGGUAAAAGCCUACCAAGGCGGCGAUCCAUAGCUGGUCUGAGAGGAUGAUCAGCCACACUGGGACUGAGACACGGCCCAGACUCCUACGGGAGGCAGCAGUGGGGAAUAUUGGACAAUGGGCGAAAGCCUGAUCCAGCAAUGCCGCGUGAGUGAUGAAGGCCUUAGGGUUGUAAAGCUCUUUUACCCGGGAUGAUAAUGACAGUACCGGGAGAAUAAGCUCCGGCUAACUCCGUG
rnacentral:rRNA from 1 species